rnacentral:rRNA from 1 species
GACGUAGGGCGCGAGCGUUGUCCGGAUUUAUUGGGCGUAAAGAGCUCGUAGGCGGCUUGUUGCGUCGACCGUGAAAACCCGGGGCUCAACUCCGGAUCUGCGGUGGGUACGGGCAGACUAGAGUGAUGUAGGGGAGACUGGAAUUCCUGGUGUAGCGGUGAAAUGCGCAGAUAUCAGGAGGAACACCGAUGGCGAAGGCAGGUCUCUGGGCAUUAACUGACGCUGAGGAGCGAAAGCAUGGGGAGCGAACAGG